CGCUUCCUCCCAGAUCCUCAAGGGGGGGGGGGGGCAUUUCCCCAAACCCUGAGUCCGCCGGGGACGCGAUUCCCGGGGAGGGGCGGUCGUCCUCCGAGAGUUCAAAGCUACCCUCGACUCUUCGCGCCCUGGGCCGAGGCGUGGUGGGAAAGCCACCUGGUCCUACUCUUGGCUGUUCUCUCCCUCCCCGCUUGGCCAGCUAGGACAGCAACAGGUGCGGUCAGACCGAUUGGACAAACCUGGCGGAGGCUGGGCGCCAGGCUGGCGCUUCGCAAAGACCCUGCUCGUCGUCCUCGCUCCGCAACUAACUGCAAAACUCCGGGCGAGCCACCCAGCUUAUCCAGGGCCGUUCCCCCGUCCGCGGUCCAUGGGUGAUGUCUAACAGUUCCUGCCUUUGAGGCGCCCGGCAAGUGAGGCCGAAAAAGGCAAGCGCACGAGGGUGGAGCGUGUCUCACCCUGGAGAGCUGGGGCUGACUUAGGGACACCAGAGGGAUGGCUGUCCCAACAGCCCGUGGGGACGCUGCGCCGGCGGGAGAAGUGGGACGCGCCGCGGUCCAGCCUCGCUUCUACCGGAGAGAGCUGGCUCUGCAGAGCGCCACCCUUGACCGCGAAUAACCCCGCGGUCGCCGAGAACAUGUCCUGCCCCUGACUUUGGAGGAAAACCCCAGCAGCAUCCCAGCGCCCCUUCCUCCCCAAUGUCGGGGCUCCAGCUUGAGGAAACCGAUUUGGAGCGAAAUGUGGUUGCUGGAGAAAUUGUAAAAUUACACAAGUGGCUCACGUUAUAUUUCUAUUGGACAUUCUAAAGCCUCAAGAUCUGACCUUUAACCUAGUUAACACUGUUUUCAAACUUUGGAUAUUGGUUUCUAUUCCUUCCUCAAAGAAACUUUCCCUGACCCUUUGCCUAGAUUUCCUAUAAUCACGUUCCUUUCUUUUGAAGUAAUUACCUUGAUUUGUAAUCAAUUUUACUUUUUGGCUAUUUGAUUAACGUCCGUAUCUCUGUUAUGGUAAAAGCUCCAUAAAAGCAGUAAUUGGGAUGUUUUUUUCCCCUAUUGCUAUUCUCUCUGUACCCAGAAUAAAGCCUGGUGCAUAGAAAGAGCUCGUUAAAUA